UGGUGGAGUGAUUUGUCUGGUUAAUUCCGAUAACGAACGAGAUCGCAUCCUACUAAAUAGUGGCACGAAUCGUCUACCGGGUGAAGGCUAUCGGCUUUGGGGGCUGGGAAACUGGCUACUUCAGACUGGUGGUUGGAUCCUUGAUGAAUUGGUGUCAACAAACUUCUUAGAGGGACUGUCGGUGAUUAACCGAAGGAAGUGCGGCAAUAACA
rnacentral:rRNA from 1 species